GUUCGUGCUGCCCUUUCUUCACCACUCCCCAACCCCCACCCCCACAUCAUGGGGGAAACUGAAAGAGAUCCCCCUCCCUCCCUGGAAGCCCUGUGGGCCCUCUGCAUCUUGCUUUGCCCUUGUGAUUUUUUCAGCCCCAUGGACCCCUGCCCCUUGCAUUGGCUCCUCUGUCCAUGCCAGGCUCCUCUGUCCGUGGGACUUUCCAGGCCUGGAAGGACCAGCACUUCCUCCAAGAGUUUCUCCAUCACCUCCCUAUGUGGUCCUGAACCGUUCAAUUUCCUUGACGUCAGUUUCCUGGGUCAAGACAAUUUGUUCACGCUCUUCAACCCUCUGACUUGCUCUGACUGUGAAUAGCAGUGGCAACAUCACAGUGUCUCUG
ensembl:lncRNA